GGAGCUGGUCUUGUGGGGCAGCCCUAAAAUGUAUCUCCAAGUGACCCUGCACUCAUCACUUGCUGCCUUGGACUUAGUUUCCUCAUUCGUAGAAUGGAGACACCACACUUUCUGAAGUGCUUAUGAGACUUGCAGGAGGCCAAAAUUUUCUACCUGUUUCGUUUAUUGCUAUACUCCUGGUGCUGAAGAUGGUGGGAUGAGGGAAAGGUCAUCACCAGUGAAAGUUCUGACACUUGCACUUCUCCGGCAAGCCAGGGCCGGGGCUUCACUGCCAGCCAGCAGGAGGAUGAGCCAGCUCUGCAGUUCCACUUCAGAGUCCAUCUUCUUGGAUCACUCUUGGCACCAACUGUAUUGAGUUGAGUUCUGGGAAAUAGACUUGCAGGGCUGCUCUUCUAGCUGGAGGAUCUGGAGCUGGAGGUCAGAACCCGCAGCUUUCUGGCCGAAGGACAUUAAGCCAGACAACUCAAACGUGUUGUAUUGCUCAUACUUUGGGUUUACCAUGAUCAUGUAGGCAACACUGAUUGAUGAUCAGUGCAACUAGGUCUGAAACAGGAUAUUCUUGUACUGAAGCUUAGUUUUAUGCAGAAUUACAUCUUAUCCUUCAGAUUCUAAGCUUAUUUCUGCACUGAUAAGUUGGCAUCUCGGUGGCCUCAGUUUCUGUGGGUUUUUACCCGGUUGAGAUGAGAAUAUUCCUUGCUCCCCUAAUGGAUUUCCAUUUAAUUUUCUUAAAACAAAAACAAUACUGUUUUUUAAAAGAAAGUGUUUUCAUGCAGUUUAAGUGUUAAAAAAUCAGUUUAAAAUUUUCACAGCAGCAAGAGCAGGAAGAACUCAGGUUAUAUGGUCUUGACCACACUUGCCGGCAUACAGCGUACUUUGUCCUGGGUGGGUGCUGAAGAAAAAUGGAGAACAAAACCAACUCCAUGACUGAAACACAAACUCAACCUUGCACAUGCAGCAAAUAGGUUGAGUUAAAAGAACAAUGAAAGAGAGCUCAGACUCAUUCUUGUUUUAGUGACUUUUUAGGUUUAUUUUUUUCCAACUGUGAUUUUAUCCAGAGUGUUAGUAUAAACUUAUGUGGUUAGAACUGUUACCAAAGGAUAGGAGAUCUAAUUCCAGAUCAACCAGUGAAAGUCGGGUAGUUUUAACCACCAACAUCUGCAACAGCUAAAUAAGAUCCAUGUUGCUUCUGUUACACAGUGUUUCCUACUGUAUUUUUGAAAAUGUGCUCAAUUGUCACAUAGUAAAAGCAAAUAUUGAGUAGCUUCUGAGGGACAGUGGUACUUUUAAAAAAGUGAUCCCAACUCCUAUGUUCUUUAGAAACAAUUCAAGUAAACAUAUUAAAUAAGAUUCCAAACCUUUCA
ensembl:lncRNA ARGLU1-DT ARGLU1 divergent transcript